UAAUAAUAAUAAUAAUAAUAAUAGUGUUGAAGAUGAUUGUAUAAAGAUAGAUCAGUAAAUGGAGUUCAUUAAACUUUUCCAACAAAAUUGUGAAUUAUUUUUAACUAGGCUAAAGCAAUGACAAAACAAAGCAUUAAAAAUAAAUGCAAACCAAUAUUCACCUUAUUGACAGAAAAAAAUAAGCUUGUCUCAUUAGCACUUGACCUCAAUUGUAAGUGAUACACCUUUGCUCCAUCUAGAGAAGGCAUGGGCAACCUUUUUCAAGAAGCACGCUGCAUGUAACAGGCUCAUCAGGUGGGCUGCACUACUAAAAAAAUUCAAGGUAAUUUUUCGUUAAUGACCCUUUCAAAAAGUCCUGCAGGCCACAAUAUGCCUGACUGAUCUAGACAUAACAAUUUUCCAUUGCUCCAUUCAUUUAUGACACACCAAGCACUUUCACCGAUCUUUCAUAAAAAUCCUCCUGAUGGCAAACUGACUCAGCCUUCCUCAUCAUUUUUUUUUUGUCUUGAAAAAUUCCAUGAGAGCUGUAUUGAGGAAGCCCAUGUUUUUCAUCCUCACUACUCCCAGUUUUGACCAUCUUAUUACUUCCUUUGCAACCACCACCACCACCACCACCACCACCACCAUCAUCACCACCACCAUCCAGCUCAAGAAUAUUGUCCAGUCUUCUUGCCAAAAGACAGCAGCAGCAACAAAAAUCUAUUCUCAGAAAUCUUGUUUCUAGCAUUACUGAUCCCACCCUCAUUCUCAAUAGUGACACCCCAACUCACUUUGAAAAGAAAUCAAAGGAUACAUUAGAUAAGGGUAUAAAGGUUAAUUUCUAGUUUCUGAUCACAUUCCAGACACACUUGGCUAACUGAACUACCCUUCGUUAGUUACAAACUUCUAAGAACAACAUAAUACCCAAAUUUGGCACCAAUUCCACAUAGGUUUCUGAGUUCUAAAGUUUCAGUCAUAGACUCCUUCCUAUUUUGCUUAACCCUUAAAUUUUAUCCUAAUGUGAAAGCAUUUCUAAAAUAAAAUACUUUUUAAUAUAUUAGCUUCCAGUCAGUUGAUUCCUAUUUUUUUACACUUUUUUUUUUUAACACAGGAAAUGGAAAGUGAAAUAAGAAAAGCUUUUACACACACACACACACAUAUACAAACAAACAAACAUUCAGUUUUAGCAACAUAAUAUUCUGUCCCAAGAGAUGAAAAAAAACAUUUGAAACUGCUGAAUAAUGUAGCAUCUUGUAAUACAUAUAUAUAUAGAGAGAGAGAUCCUUUGCCAUUCAUAUUGGCUCAUAGGGCUGGUUCCACACCCCCACUUCCUGGAUAGGAUGCCAGGCCAUUGCAGGAUUACUCCAUUUUACCAGAUGGGUGGACUAGAGGAGGGUGAAAUGAAGUGUCUUGCUCAAGAGCACAAUAUGUCUUCUAAUCCAGGAAUUAAAACCACAAUCUUACGAUCAUGAAUCCAACAUCUCCUAACCACUGAGGCACAAUCAAGAGUCAAGUGAACUUGCCCAUUAGCAACAGAAAAUCCAAUGUCUCAAACAGUCUUUUUCAGGAAAAAGGUUGAAAGGAGAGAAAUUGAUGAGACUCAGCAGAGUUUUACAUACUCUCCCUUCUGUCUGUUAUUAGUUUCCCUCCUUUCAGCUUUUCCUUGAAGAAGGACUCAGUCCAAAACAUUUGAUUUUCCACCUUCACAGCUUGUUCACCAUACACUUUUUUGAUUUUACUACAUGUAUGAGUGUGUGUGUGUGUGUGUGCGCACAUGUUAAUCUUCCCUUCUAUUUUUUUUACUCUCAUAACACUUGUUAAAGACAGUUUGUCUACCCUUUGUUUUUAUAUUGUUACUGUUUUUUGUCAUGACACAAUAUGAAAUUGUCAAACGUCCCUGGCUUUCUCUCAAAGACAUCUACACAGAUUAAUACAAACAAAGAAAUGACACUCAAACAGUUUGUGUCUUCUAGGUUUACGGCUUACGACAAAGAUAAAUGAUUAUUAGGUUUUGACAGAAUCAUUACAGCAUAGGAAAGAAAUACCUUGUGGUAUUUAUUCUGGCCAUUUAUAUUCUGAGUCCCAAUCCUGCAGUAAUCAACUUUACAUUUUCAGUCUCUUUAGGAUCAAUGAAACAAAAUGCCAACCAAAUAAUGCUCAGUUUUGAAAGGAAGCCAUUCAGUCAAUUACUUUGACUACAAUGUUUGACCGGUACCUUAUUUUAUUGACUCCAGAGGGAUGAAGAGCAAAGUUGACGUCGUCAGGAUUUGAACUCAGAGCAAAUAACACCAGACAUAUUUUCUUAUGCUAUAACAAUCCUGUUGAUUUGCUGCCCUUUACAGAAUAAUAAAGACAAGUAUAAUAGAACAGGGCGGUUCUCUUGUUGUUUCAAAGACUUUCCUUUGAUUGAUGGAUUGAAGUUACUCUUUGUGAAUCAAAUCUCUAAUUUCCUGUCAGAAGAUUUUCAUUCCACUUGUGUCACUGAUUCUUUUGUGAAGCAGGAUUUGGGCAAAUUGUUUUAAUACCCCCCUGCCUCUGUUUCCUUAUACUCUUUAAACUCAAAAAGCAUGAUUUUAUUUGAUUAUAUCCCUGGAAACCGCAGAAGAAAUAGGGCUAGAUGGUUUCAUAUUUACUGUUUGCUGAUUGGGAGAAAAAUAGUUAUUUUCAGCCAUAAACUCAAAAACACAUGGCCAAUUGCUUUUGUGUUUUACGGGGAGUAUAGUCAAAUAAAAUUGUACCUGCAAGUUCAGAGGGUUAAAAAA
rnacentral:lncRNA from 1 species